UCCCUGGUGGCUCAGAGGUUAAAGCGUCUGCCUGAAAUGCAGGAGACCUGGGUUCGAUCCCUGGGUCGGGAA
rfam:TPA: Bos taurus chromosome 5, whole genome shotgun sequence.